UCUGCUGGGGCUCCAGAGAGAGAGAGGGUUGGGUGUAGGACAUGAAGCAUCAGACACACCACACGCUCCGCUCCUCUGUCCCAAACCCCCAGCCGAACCCCCAGCUGAGGGGGCAAUGACUCAUUAAAAUGGAGGAGGCAAAUAAUAGCAUGUCUCAUCAUGUCUUCAGGAUCAGGACCCACAAGUCAAAUCCUGAACACGCCUCAUACCCUCAUUCAAUUACUGCUGUGAUCCCUUCCCAACACUAUGUCUCCCAUCCUCCUCAAUGUUUCAGGUCACCAGCCUCCACUGAUGUACAGUAUAUGGAAAGACCAUCUAUAUACUGAAAAAUCCCUCUCUUCAAAUCAAUGAUGAUGAAUCACAUACAGUACAGUACUACUCCAAUAACUCCACCUAAGGCAGUGGUAAAGAUAGUGAAGAUAGUUUCCUGUGACUGUCCAACCAUCAACCAACAGCAAAGAGUCACAUGCAGGUAAAGCUUUCAAUUUGAACAUGACUUUGCUCUAAAAACUUUGAAGUGCCAAGUGAAGUCUUCUAUGAAACUUUGAUGAAGUAGGUCAUAAAAUAUGGAGGCCGUUACGAAGUGGACAUUAAUGGGUUGCCCAUGGGUAGACCCCACCAUGCAGAGUCUGUGAUGAGGUGAAACUACAUGCUGUGCUGAACACAAGAUUUCAGGAAUGGAGGGAAUGGAGGCGUGAGCAGAGCAGAGUACUACAAUUAAACUCCUCAUACGAAAAAUAAAUAUGUACACAAUUCAAGUAUGAUCGUUGCAUUAAAAUGUAAUGUUAGUAAUAUUAUAAUUUACAUUAUUUAUAUUUAUCUGUUUUGUAUGUAUGUAAUGUAGGCUACAUAACAAAUGU